UACGUAGGCAGCAAGCGUUGUUCGGAGUUACUGGGCGUAAAGGGUGUGUAGGCGGUUGCUUAAGUUUGGUGUGAAAUCUCCCGGCUCAACUGGGGAGGGUGCGCCGAAUACUGAGUGACUCGAGUGCGGGAGAGGAAAGUGGAAUUCCUGGUGUAGCGGUGAAGUGCGUAGAUAUCAGGAGGAACAUCGGUGGUGUAGACGGCUUUUCUGGACCGUAACUGACGCUGAGACGCGAAAAGCGUGGGGGAGCGAACAGG
rnacentral:rRNA from 1 species